GUAGCUCAGCGGUUAGAGCAAUAGAUUUUUUUGCACAGGUUCGAAUCCUGUUGUGGCCACCA
rnacentral:tRNA from 1 species